rnacentral:rRNA from 1 species
GAGGAAUAUUGGACAAUGGAGGCAACUCUGAUCCAGCCAUGCCGCGUGCAGGAAGACGGCCCUAUGGGUUGUAAACUGCUUUUAUACAGGAAGAAUGUUACCUACGCGUAGGUAUUUGACGGUACUGUAAGAAUAAGGAUCGGCUAACUCCGUGCCAGCAGCCGCGGUAAUACGGAGGAUCCAAGCGUUAUCCGGAAUCAUUGGGUUUAAAGGGUCCGCAGGCGGUUCAUUAAGUCAGAGGUGAAAUCCUACCGCUCAACGGUAGCAUUGCCUUUGAUACUGAUGGACUUGAGUUAUAGUGAAGUAGUUAGAAUGUGUAGUGUAGCGGUGAAAUGCAUAGAUAUUACACA